UCCACGUGACUGUUUAUUAAAACAAAAUGCAUAUAGGAAAGGUUUAGCCGGUUAGUCGGUUCCCAGUUCCCAAGUAAUUUGUGUGGAAUGAAAUUAAUGCAAACCAGGGUAGGUGAAUUGAUUUAUGAAUUGAGUGUUCAUCACCAUGCUCCUCACUGUCAGUAUUCCCAUAUCUCUCCAUUCUUCCAAACUCAUUUUCACCGUCAGCUGCAGAAUUCAACCGGGAUUUGACCGACUCAAUCACUCAGAUCUUGAAUUUUCACACCAAAUUCAAUUCCCUAUUCAAUAUUUGACCUGCAAAUCGAAUUUCGAACAGGCAGAGGGAGAGAGAAAACUAAACAGGGUUGAAUUUGCCAAAGGUUGAAAUCGGAGGGGAGGCUUUGAAAUCCAUGUUUUUAAUUCUCUUAAUUCUUGCUCUUGAUGCUUCUCGGAGAUUCGAGAAAUCGGGAAGGUCUAGAAAACCGUUUGGAGGCCAACGUGGUUCAGGUAAUUAUAAUAAACAACCAUGGCGGCAUGGCCGAUGGUGGACAUUUCCUUCACAGAGUCAUGUCAUACCUCGUCAAUGAGCUUCUGGUCGAUAGCCUCGCCAACAGCAGAUCAUUCCAUGGGUUUGCUCUGAGGACAUCAAAGCAAAUGGAUGAGCUUUCAAAUUUGGUUGCCAAGAAGAAGGAACAACUUGCCGAGCAGAUGAAGGAUAUCUCCAGUUUGGUUGUCAUCACACCAUCUGUAUACAUCCUUCUGUCUUUGAGAGCUAUUGAGAGAAAAUAGUGUUUCUGAGCUGGGUUUCUUUUUUUCUUUUUUCUUUUUUUGUUGCAAAGUGUGCUUCUAAUGGCACAUUAGUUUGUUACUAUAUACAAGGUUAUAUAUAUGACCUCCCUCUCGAGUUCCACAAAACAAAAAAUUAAAAAAAAUCUCUUGCUCUUCAUCUUA